CAAAUUAAACCUUCCAUUUGUGUGAAUCCAAAUUUUUCCACAAAGUAAACCUUUCCUUUGUGUAAAUCCAUUAGUAAAGAGCUUAGCCUUAAAAUUCCACUAAGCUUUACAUCCAGUUUCCAUCCUAGAGACUCGUAGUUGUCUCAUAAAGUAACAAACUCUCAAUCACUAGUAUUCCUCAUCGAGUAUAAUUAUUUAUACAUUAUUUCCAACCAUAGUUUUUCAUUAAGAUUUAUUUCCUCCAAACAAAAAACUAGGUUCUUCCUCUAAACCAAAAAUUUAGAGUGUGUUCCCAUGCAAUACAUAAUGAUCAUCCAUAUAUGAUGGUUCAAGUAUUCCUCCCACUUUUCCUAAGCAUGUUAGUGAUGGGAGUAUGACAUAUAUUACUUUCCAGGGGAUACCUCUUCCUCAAUGAGUAUUAAUUCCAAGCGUUAUACUAGAUCUAUCCAUACGUGCUUGCUAUCAUAUUCUUAAUAAUUCCACCAUUAUCAACUCAGAGCAAGAUGAGUGUUGAUAAUAUUGUAUAUAUAUGUUCCACCAGUUUGUCAUAGAAUAACCAAUAGAAAAUGAAAAUCCUGGUGUGUACUUCCAAAAAUUGUUAAACAAUAAAGCAAGGGGUUUCUUCCAGUGCACAACUCAAACGCAGUGGCUGUGAUAAAUUAUAUGGUGAUUGAUCCAAUGAAUAAUAAUAAUUCAUAAAUAUUUGAGUCCUUUGCAUAUACCAUAUAUUGGCAAGUGUAUAGAUAUACAUUAAAAUAAUUCCAUGCUCAUUAUAUAAUUAAAUCAUUCAACAUUCCUGAAGUGUAUCCCCCCCCCCCCCAGUCAGUGAAUAAAUCUUAUAUUCAACUGAUUUUCCACUUCAGUUUAAAUUUCUUCAAACUUCCGACUUGUAUUUUAAGAAGAUAAAUGGAACCAUAUCUAGAAUUAGUAAUCCAUAAAUGUGAUAAAAGUCAAACACUAAUUAGAUCUUUCCACCUUCAGAAAGGCCUUGUAUAUGUUUCACUAUUAUCAAAUUCCUCCCACUUAAAGUUAGUUCCAGAACUAAAGAACAUAAUUCUGUUCUAGAUAUGUGACCAAGUCUCAAAUAAUAUAAUUGUAUUUCGAGCAUGUGUUCCUAUCAAUAGUAUUCCUCACUAUGGAGUUCACAAAUUAAAGAAUCAAUGUUUUCACCAUCCAGAAUACCAUAAAAAAUGAUGAAUUCCAAUAUGCACUAGUUUCCAAUGGGUAAUGUUUAAAAUUUCCCUUUUCCAAAUAGUACCAAAACCAAUGGACUCCAAUUAAGCAACACAUAUAAUUCCUUCACAUGCUAAGUGAGUAUAAAGUGUCAAUUUUCC
rnacentral:lncRNA from 1 species